CCCCACCACCUCACCCACGAUCAUUCCGCCGCUAUGCCCCGCGGCCGCGCACCUCCCACACCACCACCUCGAAAUAAUUUGUAUAUAAAAAAUAAUUUUUAUGUCCUAGAAAUGGUAAUCAUUUUUUAGGGACGGGUGAUGGCGUCACCCGCCCCUAGAUACGACCACCAGGUUGCUGUAGAGAGCAGAGAAUUUAAUCCUAGUUGAAAUCCAUCAAUUAUCCCGGUUGGUGGCUCCAACCGGGACCAAUACUAUUUGGCCCGGUUGGAGCCACCAACCGGGACCGAUAGCGGUGCUUUUAUCCUGGUUAGAGCCCAACACCGGGAUCAAAGGUAGUGAUCCCCUUUUUUCUAUCAUCCGUGUGCGUGUCUCCAUCUAUGUAUCUCUGUCCUCCUCUCGAUCUCUCUCAUCCUCUCAUCUCUAUCUUAUCCUCUUCCCUCUCCUUCUCUUGUCUUCCUCUGGCUGCAGCCGGCGAGCCCGAGCGGAGCACACGGGGGCGAGCUUGGGACGCAGCAGCAGCUUGCACGAGCGAGUAGCUCUCACGGGGAGCGGUGGCGCCGGAGCCGGAUCGCAGGGCGAGGCUGACCGGAGCAGCGUGCAGCGGGAGGGAGGUGCGGCCGGCCGGAGCAGCGUGGCACGGGAGGAUGGUGCGGCCUGCCGGAGCUGAAGUUCAGGUCGAGGGCUCGGACAGCGGGUUCGGGAUGCAGCAGCGGCUGCAGCCAUGAGCGAGCAGUUCGCAGCAAGCGGCAAGCGGCAAGCGGCGAACUGCGAGCGGCGAACGGUGGCGGAGCUGAAGAGCGAGGCGCGCGGCAGGAACGGCAUCGCUUGCAGCGAGCGGCAGCCGCUCGGACCUUGGGCUGGUGUGUUGUUUUUUUCUUUUUCAAAUGUUUUGGUUUUCUUGUUCAUCACUUCGCUUGUGUGAAGGCUUUGUCUGUGAUUAUUUUUUUGUUUGUGACUGAGCUAUUGAAUCUUUAUAUGAUUUGAAUCAAAUCAAUCUCAUGUGUUAUGAAUUAGAUUUGUACUUUCUUGUACGAUUGUCUUGUGAGAUGAACAUGUUUCUAGCUUCAAUCUUAAAUUUCUUCUAAGUGUGAUUGUAUCUCUAUGAGAAAGUUGAAGCAUAUUUUGUGAUGAAGUUGGAACUGGAAGAGGAAUGAGGUGGUGGUCGAGGUGGAGGUAUGGAGCUGCGGCGGGACAAACAAGCACCUUUUUUGUUGUUGUUUUCUUUAUCUUUUGUCCCGGUUAGGAACCCCACCCGGUAUCUAAAAUUACAUUUUGUCCCGGUUGAAUCACCCGGGAUCAAAAACUAGUAUCUUUUGUCCCGGAGUCGUAGUCCCGGUUGGGAAACCGGGACUAAAGCUAGUUCCCAACCGGGACUACAUGUUGUUUCUAUAGUAGUGAUAGUGCGUACGUGUUGCAAACCGGGACUAAAGCUAGUUCCCAACCGGGACUAAACCUUAAAAACCUGUUUUCUUAAAAUGGGGGAUUGCAUUGGUAGCAGCCUGCACGAACGCGGAGAUUCUUAAUUAACCACCCCUUGAAUCUUGCAGGAUGCGCAUCAUCCUUAUGGCCAAUGCUUCUUGAUGAGCUUUUUGGCCAUUGAGCUCCGUCCAACCCUGCGCACCCCUUUUCUGCAGAGUUUUGAAUUUCGGUGCUUGCUUGUUGUCAGGCUCUGCAACUCUUGCGUCUUGCUUAUUAAUUACUAGUAUUUUUUCUUUGAGAAUUUAAUUACUCCAUCCUAUAAGGGAACGAUUAAACAUCGCUACGCCCACCCAAACUGCCGUCCCCCACUGAGAUGUUUGGGACCGAAUGCACCAACAAAAUUGUACCCCAAAACUCGCCACAGUUCAAAACAAAAGAUCUGGAUCAUCCAAACCCCAUCGAACGGACCGGAACGCUAGGCUUCAACGCGUUGAAGCGGACGGACAGCCCAACCCGCGCGCGGCGCGCCAGGUCCUCUUCCCCGCGCCCCGCGUUCGAAACUUUCUCCGAGCGCCAUCCGACUGCGCCGCGGCCUCCAGCUCCCCCGCAGCCGCGUCCGGUAGUGGGCGGGUCCGUGGCCGCCGCCGGGCCGCCGGCCUGCCUGCUGCGCCGCCUCGGGCCGAAGCCCCCUCCUGCGCCGCCCAGCUGUGCCGAAGUUGGCCGGCCCUAUUCCUCCCUCCCUCCCUCCGCUUUCUCCCUCAGCCAAGAAACCUAGGUCGUCUCCUCCACCUCCGUUUUGGGAGUCCGGAGGCUACUGGGUCUGGAUCCGCCCUCUCCCUCGCCGGAUCUACGCCUCCCUUAGCCGGAUCUACGUUCCUUCGCCUGGGCGACAUGGAGCCGCCCUCCUCUUUCCGGCGGCGCUGGCCCAGCCUCCUCUACCGGGACUCGCGCGCGUGGAGGCGCUGGCCGGGCAUGCCGUAGGCCGCCGUUGCCUCUGUGCCGCGCUCGUGGACGCGCUGGCCGGGGACGCGGCAGGCCAGUGUUGCUUCUGUGCCGCGCGGAGGUGCUGGCCGACCGGCCGUGGCCGUGGCCGCGGUGGCCGGUGCUCCAGCUUGCUUCUCUCACUUCCCGCUUCUUUUUUCUCCAUUCUAUUUCAGAUCCGGUAGUGUGGAACUAUAAACGGCACAGAGGGACGAGCUUUGUGGCGGCGGUUGCUCUGGUGAGGGAGCUCUGCGGCAAGCCACGCGGAGUGGCGGCCACGGCAUGCUCACCCACGUCGAGGUUUCUCAUGCUGAUUUUGCAUAAUUUCUUACCAUCUAGGAGCAAGAUUGCUUCUGCAACAUUAGCUAUGAAGUUAAUGUUUUGGCAAGAGGAUCAACAGAAGGAUGCGGUAAGCUUUCUAUUUCUAUGGAAUAAUGUCGUGUGGUGUGUUGCUUUUUUUAACAUUAGCUUUUUUUAAUUAUGUGGUGUGUUGCUUUGGGUUCCUACCUGCUGCUUGUUUGAUGAAAAGUCUAGGCAAACAAUGUUACACCGAAAUAGAAGUUGCUAUUGCUUUUACUUGAUGGACUUUGAUUAUUCUUGUUCCACUGUUAGAGUUUUGCCGAGGAUGCAAAAAUUAUGCCAAUUGGUUUUAGUUCUUAUGAACAAUUAGUUUGUUGUUGUGCAAUACUUUCUUAUUUGUGUUUGCAUUUUCAAGCCUAGAAUAAAACUUGGUGACCUAUUACUACUUACUUUGCUAAUUGUGCUUGCAAUCAUAUUGUUAUUUUCGUAUUGUGUAAAAUUUUGUUUUUUUUUUGGCACACGCAUUUUGUUGUGUAAACCUUGAGCCUGAUGGUUCCAUGCAGAUCCUUGCCCUACGGUAUGUAGAAGGCAAGAAAGCCAGAGAUAUUCUGGAAGUUUAUUUAAUCGAUGAAAAUAGACAUCAUCUGACAGAGCCAUUUAUGGAUAUGUCUUCCCUAAUUGCCUUGUAUGAGAUCCCUACCCCUAAAGGAUCGAUGCAAAUUUAUGGAUAUCUCUUCCCUAAUUGCCUUGUAUGAGAUCCCCGCUGAGAGGCUCAGCAUGCAGUGCACCCACCAGAUUGUACCCCUAAUCUCGACUGUGUUAAAAUCAAGGGCUCAAAACACUGGUACACUAUUGUGCCCUUAGGCUCCAACAUCAUGAUCAAAUUAUGAUAAUAUUUUUCUGAGACCCCUAAGACCUGUUCUUUGUCUUGUUAUUAUGUUAACAAGUCAUGGUGGAUAUGCUCUGAUGAUUAAAUAUCUUGUGAGGUACUAGGCAUGGUCCUUUUUUUCUCGUUACUAGACUUCCUACCAUGCCAUGAUGCUCCAAGUUUACGAUCAUAUGAUGACUCAUAAAAUUUCUGAAACAUGAUGUUCUACCUGUUCCUUGUCUCAAUCUCAACUUUCAUGUACCAUCUUAUGCUUAUGAUGAAAAUGUACAACUGUACAUCUAAGUUGUUGCCUUUUUGUUCUGCCAUCUUCUUUUCCAUGUGAUAGUUUUAUUCCAGAUACUUACCUUACAAGGUAUAUGAACCGAUGAUGAAGAUGUUGUGAGGUACUGGGCGCCGAUUAUUCUAACUUUUUCACUCUCUUUGUGCCCUUAGGCUCCAACAUCAUGAUCAAAUGAUGAUAAUAUUUUUCUGAGACCCCUAAGACCUGUUCUUUGUCUUUUUAUGUUAACAAGUCAUGGUGGAUAUGCUCUGAUGAUCAAAUAUCUUGUGAGCUUUGAUAGAUCAGUCACCCUCCAUCAGGAACAGGUGGAUUGAGUCCAAUCUUUUACUGGUCCCAGGUGAACUUGAUAAACAUAUGGUCCAUUGUGAAGGGAUCUUGUUUUGCGAUGCUUGUUUCAGAUAUCUGAUUGUGUUUGUAAUGGCUUCUUUACCUAGCUGUUUGCCUGUUCCAGUGGCCAUUACAAAGAAUUACGCUGAGUGUCAUUUUUGGUUUUUGGAGUUGACAGAAGCCAUGGCUCAAAAUUUCAAGCUCCUGUGGCAAUGCAGUUUGGACUCAUGGCGGAGCUGUGCGGCUAGAUGAUUGGAUCUGAUUGAUGCAGUUUAGUCCAGGUAUUGCAUCCCAUUGCUGAUUCUAUCACUAUCAACAAAACGAUCUGGAUCCGGUGCUUUUUGUGACACGUCAUGCUUGCAGGUACAACUUAUGUACAGCUUAUGCAUAUACAAUUUAGAUGUAUCUUUAUGUUUAGUUCUGAGAUGAACCACUUCUUUUUGGUAUGUAGUGAGAAUGAGCGAGGUAGCACAUGUUUUAUAUCAGUUCAUACAGCACAGUGCAAUGUAUUUUCUAGAUAUGCAUAAAUAAGGUGUCACCCAUAGUGUUAGCAUGGGCAAGCUACUAUCAACAUAUAAUAACUACAUGUUACAUCUUUUGUGUGAAACAUAUAUUUUUCAUUUUGAACUA